UACGGUUAAGAUUAUUCCGUCAAUUUUCAAUCUUUCAGUCUAUCAAUGUUAAUCAAUUCUAUCAAUAUCAAUUAAUUUGCAAUCAUAAGCAUUUUCAACUAGUUUGAUAACUGUGAUAUUUAUGUUUGUUUUACAAUAAUGGAGCAUAACGUGGCUCGGAGAAUGACUAAGUGUUGUGUUCGGAAUUCUGUGAUCUCUAGACAACUGUGAAGUUUAUUUGAGUUUUACAACAACUGAAUAUAAGGUAGCCAGAUACCAGCCGCUUCCAGUGUUGUGAUGUGUUCGUGAAAAUCAAAAUGGUCGACGAUUUCGAUUUCCUGAGAAUCACUAAAAGCUUGACCCGAAAUAAUUUUGCAUCAUUUCACUCCAAGAUAUGGCCUGUACAGAAAAUAUACAAUAAAAGAACAGAAAUGGCCGUAGUCCCAGGCUGGACGCUAAGACGGAAGGAGUUUUAGUGAGUAAACAGCUUGGCUGGAGCCCCACAGAACCCAGCGCGCCAGAAUUCCAGUGCUGUAGGAGAGCAUUUCCUAAACUUCAUCGAUAACCAAAAAACGAAGACAAAAACAACCAUCAGGUACCAACUGAACAUAAAUAGCAGGUAAUAAUUGGAUACUUAUAUCAACACUUUACAUAUUUGUUCAACAUAUUUAUUAUUUAAUGUGAAUAAAACUUAUUUCACGUUUUGUUGAAGCACCACACGAUCUAACUCAUGUAAUCUCAAUAUAAAAUCUCUAGGUUUUUUAGUUUAAUAAAUACCUAUUGUAAAGAUAAAUUCAUGUGCUUUAUUUUCCCAAUUUGUCCUAGUUUUCACACGAACACAAUUUUAGCAGGCGAUUUGAAUGCACUUUACGAACUCUGUGAUUUCCGCUGAAGUUUCAAUAAUAUUUCGAGUAUCUCAUAUUGCCCUUUAAUUGUGAUGUUAAUUGAAGCCCUAGCAUAAACAUCACAAUUAAGGAGCAUGAUGAAAUGCUUGAAAUGUUAUUGAAACUUGAACGGAAAUCACAGAGGUCAUAAACUGAAAUCAAAUACCCCGCUAAAUUUUGAUGUGAAUCCAAUCGAUAAAGAAGAUUUCUUCUGCCAGUAGUGGAAAUUAGAGUUUAGUUUUGAUUGCAGCCGGUGAUUUAAGCGACAAAUAGCAUUCUGCACGCGUAUAUGGCAGUUUCCAAUCUAUAACCUGUGUGAUCUGUGGUCAUGUGUCAUGGCGUUACUGCAAAUUCUGGUGUUGGAAUAGUGGUGCUGGAAUAGAAUUCUGGUGUUGGAAUAGAAAGGAAAAGUGUAGACGAAUCACCAAAUUAAUCCAGCACAAUACGAAUGGCCAACUGAAAGCGAAUGCAAAGAAAUAUGGAAUAUAAACUAAUAAUUUAAAAACAAUUUUUAAAUAUUAUUCAUAAAAAAAUCAAACAUCCUAGUUACGCUAGUUUUUUAAUAUACAGAGUCAUUCAAAAUUGGCGUCAUUUCUCAACAUUAUUGAUCAAAUAAAAUACAAUUCUGUUGUUAAAACACAGUGUUCCCAAGAGCAAGAAGUCCUGCUCUUGUUUCACUCCAAACACCUAUCUUUGUGUCUCAAUCACUUUGAAGUCUGGGCUCAUAUUUUGAGCAGAUUUUCAUGUUCGGUUAAUUAACUGCUGCUCAAUUUGAACCGGUGUUCGGAAGAUCAGAGAUUUAGUGUGUUCUAGUGUCCCGUACAUAUUACAUACAUGAUAGGAAUGUAGGCCCUUCCAUGGGGGAGUUAUCGGGACAAUUAAGUAUCCGGUGAUUGAGAAAGUGCAGUUGUGCAACUUCAAGUCCUCCUGGAAGGCUCAGCUGCAAUAAUCUCCAAUACCUGUUGCUCUAGGUCAGGAAAGCGAGCAUCUUUAGAUUGUCCACUAUCUGCGUUCAUUUCGGGCCACUCGUCUAGUGUGUAGCUCUUUGCUGGUGUAAGUUCUGACAGCUUCUGCUAUGUUACUGUGGCAUUUUCCCAUAACUAAUCGCAUAUUCACAAAUUCGCUGUUGGUUUUCAUUUUGUGAAAGAAGCUCCAAAAUAAGCCACGGUUUGACAAAUGCUUGUUAUUAUUGACAAAGGCUGUCUACCUGUAACCAUCUGUUAAUGACAAAAAACAUCAUUGCCGCUUUUCACUUUUUUUUCACUUGCGGCGAAAUUUUUUUCUAUAUAUUUUUCGUUCUCUCUAAGUCGGCACCUAUAUACCCUUAAAAGAAAUGAUGCCAAUUUUGAAUCCCCUUGUAUACAUUUGUAUAUGUGGUACAGAUGAUCCGUUUUUAAGUUUUACUUGUAGUUAGCGAAUAUACUUCUAACAUCAGGUUAUAUUAAAAUUUACGCAAUAGGAUCGAUGCAUAUGCUUAAUUUUUCAAACUUUUCUUUGGUAACUUUAGAUUUAGAUAUUAAACUAUAAGUGUUUUCCUCCUAAUUAUGCAGUGUUUUGUAGGUUUAUUACAAUACAGAUACAGAGGCAGCCAUAUUCAGAAUUUUUUAUGAAAGUUUUUAUUUAUUAGCUUACAUAUUAGUAUAUACAUCCAAUAAGAGUUAAAAAUGUUAAAAUUAUUUAUAUUGCACCUCAACUUAUAGCUUUUCGUUUAACAGUUUUAAAUUUGUUGGUCGGAUAGUUUUAGUCUUUAGCUUUAGCUGUGGGUUAGUUGAACAUACUUUCAGAUAUUUUGUAUCUGAAAUACGACUAAACCUUGUCUUUUAUAUUACGAAGUAUUUCAGCUUUAGCUUUUGAAUUAUUCUGAAUGAUGACUAUUUAUGCGAAUAAAGCCCUUUAGUAUAA